ACCCUUCUCGUCAGGCCCGCGCCCCCUCCGCCUCGUCUCCUCCCUGCUCCCUCCUCUCCCACGUCGCCGCCCUCGAGCCCCCUCCACCUCGUCUCCUCCCUGCUCCCUCCUCUCCAACGCCGCUGCCCUCGAUGCGCCGUCAGGGAUGCCAUCAGCCCGAUCCUAGGAGAAGACCACUCCUAAUCUUACUCGCCGCCGUUGAUUGGAUCGAGAGCGCCCACAUGGCCUCGCCACCGCUGCCGCCUGGAUUUGCUAGCCGCCGCAUGGAGUCACCCUAGCCGCCGGGUGGAGUCGCCCUGGCCGCCGCCGAGAGUCAGCUCCACCAUUACCCCCAGGAAUCCAGUCCCGGCAAGGUAACUUCCUUCGAAUCCCUGCUCUCCCUGGUCCUCCUGCCCUGCUUGCUGCAUGUGUGUUGUGUGCGUUUGGCCACUCCUCGAGCAAGCUCAAGUUCGUCGACUUUUACAGGUACCAUCUUCCUCCCUUCCGAUCUUCAGAUCUCCAUAUUUGGUGACUGCGGUGUUUUGAUUUCGUUGGAUUACUAUCUGUAUUUGGGGAUUAGCUAUGAAUUGAUGUUUUUACUUUGAGCAUGGAUAGUCGGCAGUACUGAUUUAGGUCUUUUUGUAGAACAGAAUGAUUAGCUCGUCUAUUUCUGGAGAACUGCACUAUAGAUGAUAUAUUUAUGAACGAUCUUAACACUGAAAAUGCAAAAAUUACGGUAUGGUCUAAUGAUAGUCGGUGGGUGUGACUUUUUUGCUGGCAUUGUCCAGUGCAGUUUUUGGAUUUCUACUGAGUUGUACAGUGUUUUGAGAUUUGUUUUUGUGUUAUGCCAUCUGCAGGAAAAUUCCCAGGGAUUUGAUUGACGGAGGCAUCACUAUUUGACGUUGGAUUAUCCAUUUUUGCAACACUAGCAAUGUUGUUUUUGUUUGGAAUGGCCAGUUCUCAAUUUCUAUUCUGUUAUCAACGAUACUGUACUUCUUGUCAGGUUACAUUAUCUUACUUGGUUUCAGUCUAUAUGUAGCACAAAAAUAGGUAACAUGGUUAUUUUCAUGCUCGAUUUGGUUUGUAGGUUACACUAAGGAACACCAUCAUAAGGAAAAGGGCAUUGCACUGCAUUGUUUAUAAUUGGCCUGUUACUAUUCGGUCUGCUGUAGUACUUAAUUGCUACACCACUUCAAGUUAUGUAGUCUAAAAUAACCCUUUCAAAUGAACUUUUUUAAUUGAUAUUCAGAGCAUCAACAUGGUGGACUAGAUUAUGAAAUCAACUAUGAUCAUGAGAACUUGAAGCUAUUUGUUGACUAAAUUGUCAAUUGUUUUGCGUGAAUUGAAACUGGCAGUGUGAUGACAUUACUGUAGAUGCUUUGCUAUAUACAUUUGCCUAAUCCUAUCUCUCUCUCUAAUAUGCUCUCUUUUGUGAAGAUCCUUUGCAGAUCAAUUGGUGAGGCAGAAUGCUAAGCAUCGUUUCACAUUCAGGUUUGCUAUCAAACUCUCAAAAAGGAAAAACAACUUUACUCUGUUUUUUGGAGAACCUUCCUGUAGAGUACCUUGACAGAGACAAAUAUGCGGUCAAGGAUAUAUUCGAUGGAUUUUCACGCAAAAUUUGGAGGAUAUUUUUGCAGAUAGUUUGGUGCUCUCAUGGUUAUUUUGUACUGAUUUUCCUUCUGUUCAUUACUUGGUAACCAUCUACGGCAGCUCAGCUAUUGUCCAGCUGCUGACCUUGGCCUUUCAAUCUCACUGUGAUUCCCCGAGAUGCGCUAUUAGUAGGCAUCCACUUUGUAAUAAAAAUUUGGCAGUCAACUUGAAACGGGUCAUUUAUCUAGCUACAGCAACCUUCCUUGCUUUUGCAAAUAAUACUGUAUGGUUGACACUAUAGUCUAUACCUGCCAAAUAUUUACACGUUAGUAUAGCCAGAAAGUUAGAUGAUCGUUCCAUGUUGGUUAGGCGUGAUAAAUCAAAUUUCUAGAGUAGCAGAUGAUUCGUGUCAGGUUUCUUUUAGAGAUUGAAAUAUGUCUUGACUCUGAAAUUAGUAGUACAGUGUCCAGUUCUCCAUAGGUGAAAGCAUACUAUGCAAAACUGGACGGCCUUCUAAAGCUCUAAAACUACUAUUUGUUGUGUAAUCUGUAUCCCUUUUUCAUACUUUGUAUAUGCUUUCUACUUACUAGAAAAAAAUGCGUGAGAACGAUGGCCUAGAGGAUGUGAAUUGCACUCAAAUAUAUGCAGGUUUCUUGCCAAACUAACUGCCACUAUUGUAUUUUAGGUGCUUCUUCUGUAACUUAGUGUAUUUUGCUGGCUCGUCUCAUUUCCUGGCGAACUUUUUAGUAUGUACAACUGAAUCAUUGGAAGUUGUUUUCUACUAUCUAGAGGUUUUAUCCAAACUAUUAGCUGCCGGAUUUGCUUUUUUGAAAUACACUAACCUGAUAGACCAAGUGGACCAACACAUUUCCAUGGGAUUUUAGAAAAAUAUAUGUGAAUUUGCAUACAUUUUCUAAAUUUCUAUCUUUUCUUAUCCAUGCUUCCCCAUAGAUAUAUAGCAGGCUCAACAAAAAUAUAUGUCCGCUUAUGUUCAAAUUUCAAGGAAGUGUGCUUCACACUUCUCUUUCUGCAAUAUGUUUCAGAGUAUAUGAUUUAAUUUUCCUACUUUUCCAGUUAAAAUACUGCGUACUUCAUUCUUAGCUUUGCUUUAGGAAAAAUAGGUAUGUAUGUUAUCGAAAGCUCCAUUUUUCACCAUUAUAUAGAUUAUAUAGUUUUGUGGUCGAAGGUAGGUUGUCACAUAUGGGAUGUUGCUUGUGAAAGUUAUAUACAGCCAUGAGUCCCUGACAAAAUAAUCGUAGCUCAUAUUAUUAGGAUCAGGGAACCUCGACCAUUUUUCUGAAACAUGUCGCAGCUCAUGUUCCUACUUUCCCAGCUACAGUAUGUACUUCAUUCUUACCUUUGCUUUUGGAAGUUACAUUGCUUUCUUUUCCCUCAUAAACUUGCUAACGAUAUUGGCGAAGUAAUCCCCACUUCAGAUUUCCCAUUGAAUGAAUAACUAAUUUAGUUUGUUCAAAAAUUGUAGGUCAAGAGCCAUGAAUAGGAGCAAGGCAUCACACUCCAGCUCUGAGAAGAAAAGGAUAUGAAGACAAAGAUAUCAGUGUUCUGCUCCGAAACAAAAACAUUUUGCGUGUAAUAAUGACCUGUAAUUUACCACAAUCUCUAAAACAGGCCUACCUACUUGCUUUUGUAUUAGGAAGUAUGACUCAGUCAUAUAUAUUUACAUUCACGUUGUUUAGUUAUGGUUUGUAUGCAUGAAAAUACCGUUUUAAAUGAGCCUGAAAAUUCUUAUUUUCAGUGAAAUUGUAUCUACCACUUUGUAAAGAACGAA